rnacentral:lncRNA from 1 species
GGAGGAGUGUGGCAUUGGGAAAGGUUCUGUAUUCUGUGACACUUUUUGGAAGUGGAGAAAGCACCAGCCUGCCGAGCAGUGGUGUCUCCGUGACAGUCACGUGCCUUGUCAUGUGGGGCUAGGAUUGUGAAGACAACUCUCAGACCUCGGAAGCCCUUGCUGUAAACACAGAGGCUGUGAUGCACCCAUGGCUAUGUAGUGUGAUGGAGAAAACUGAACUCGAGACUUGUUUGCUGGAGAGUCCUGAGUGAAUCAUCUCUUCUCUUCCUCAGUGUGACAGAAUGAGAGUUUCUCGUCCGGCUGGUGUGGAGAUGCGGAAAACUUGCAGGACUUGUGAACGACAGCGGAAGCUGCAAAGUGUGGCGGAGAUCUCUGUCCUGCUGUUUAAGAAGUGGGCCUCCGAGGGUCUGAGCCUAGCCACCUAGAGGAAAGUGGUCUGGCCAUCAUAGAGUUCCUCAGGCCACAUCUCAUCAGCACUUACCUUCUCGUACAUAAAUAUCGGGCAGUGGAAUCGGAGCAUGUGUCCCCUGACUGGAAGCAGUGACAACCACGGCAGCAGGUUUAUUUUUAAAUAAAGAUUGGAAAGUUAUAAGGCUCCUGAGGUUU